AGUGAACGCUGGCGGUAGGCCUAACACAUGCAAGUCGAACGGCAGCACAGUAAGAGCUUGCUCUUACGGGUGGCGAAUGGCGGACGGGUGAGGAAUACAUCGGAAUCUACUUUUUCGUGGGGGAUAACGUAGGGAAACUUACGCUAAUACCGCAUACGGCCUACGGGUGAAAGCAGGGGAUCUUCGGACCUUGCGCGAUUGAAUGAGCCGAUGUCGGAUUAGCUAGUUGGCGGGGUAAAGGCCCACCAAGGCGACGAUCCGUAGCUGGUCUGAGAGGAUGAUCAGCCACACUGGAACUGAGACACGGUCCAGACUCCUACGGGAGGCAGCAGUGGGGAAUAUUGGACAAUGGGCGCAAGCCUGAUCCAGCCAUACCGCGUGGGUGAAGAAGGCCUUCGGGUUGUAAAGCCCUUUUGUUGGGAAAGAAAAGCAGCAGGUUAAUACCCCGCUGUUCUGACGGUACCCAAAGAAUAAGCACCGGCUAACUUCGUG
rnacentral:rRNA from 1 species